GUGAGGAAUAUUGGUCAAUGGACGGGAGCCUGAACCAGCCAAGUCGCGUGAAGGAAGAAGGAUCUAUGGUUCGUAAACUUCUUUUGCAGGGGAAUAAAGUGCAGGACGUGUCCUGUUUUGUAUGUACCCUGAGAAUAAGGACCGGCUAAUUCCGUGCCAGCAGCCGCGGUAAUACGGAAGGUCCUGGUGUUAUCCGGAUUUAUUGGGUUUAAAGGGUGCGUAGGCGGCUUAAUAGGUCUGGGGUUAAAGGCGGCAGCUUAACUGUACGCAUGCCCUGGAAACUGUUGAGCUUGAGUGACCUGGAGGUAGCUGGAAUUCCCUGUGUAGCGGUGAAAUGCUUAGAUAUCACGAAGAACUCCGAUUGCGAAGGCAGCUCACAGUGAUGUAACUGACGCUGAUGCUCGAAAGUGUGGGUAUCAAACAGGAUUAGAAACCCCAGUAGUCC
rnacentral:rRNA from 1 species